AGGGUGUAAACGCUGCAGACUUGGUGUUGGAAGCCCUUUGGGGGCAUUCAGUGCCGGAGAGAAGUUGUUAAGUCUGCUACUUGGGGAGUACGUCCGCAAGGAUGAAACUUAAAGGAAUUGGCAGGGGGAGCACCGCAACGGGAGGAGCGUGCGGUUUAAUUGGAUUCAACACCGUAAAACUCACCAGGGAAGACUGUUACAUGAAGGCCGAGAUGAAGACUCUGCUAGAUUUUCAGAGAGGAGGUGCAUGGCGUCAGUGACU
rnacentral:rRNA from 1 species